rnacentral:rRNA from 1 species
AUUGAACGCUGGCGGCAUGCCUUACACAUGCAAGUCGAACGGUAGCGGGCCUUCGGGUGCCGACGAGUGGCGAACGGGUGAGUAAUGUAUCGGAACGUACCUUUCGGUGGGGGAUAACGUAGCGAAAGUUACGCUAAUACCGCAUAUUCUGUGCGCAGGAAAGCAGGGGAUCGCAAGACCUUGCGCUGAUUGAGCGGCCGAUAUCAGAUUAGCUAGUUGGUGAGGUAAAGGCUCACCAAGGCGACGAUCUGUAGCGGGUCUGAGAGGAUGAUCCGCACACUGGAAAUGAGAGACGGUCCAGACUCCUACGGGAGGCAGCAGUGGGGAAUUUUGGACAAUGGGGGCAACCCUGAUCCAGCCAUGCCGCGUGAGUGAAGAAGGCCUUCGGGUUGUAAAGCUCCUUCGGCCGGGAAGAAAUCGUAUCAGCUAAUACCUGGUGCGGAUGACGGUACCGGCAUAAGAAGCACCGGCUAACUACGUGCCAGCAGCCGCCGCGGUAA